rnacentral:ncRNA from 12 species
CUUUAAAAAGCAAUUUUGGAUGUUACGGGAAUUAGGUGAAAAUCCUAGGCUGUCCCAGCAACUGUAAAGUGGAUGAAAGCUAACAUAUGCCAUUGAGAAGAUACUUCUUGAGAAGGAAUAGCGAGUAAAGUGAAACUGAGCCAGUAGACCGAUCUAAAAAACAUUGAUAUUU